AUUGAACGCUGGCGGCAGGCCUAACACAUGCAAGUCGAACGAGUGGCGGACGGGUGAGUAAUGUAUGGGAAACUGACUGAUGGAGGGGGAUAACUACUGGAAACGGUAGCUAAUACCGUAUACCAUCAGAUGUGCCCAGAUUGGGUUAGCUUGUUGGUGGGGUAACGGCUGACCAAGGCGACGAUCCGUAGCUGGGCUGAGAGAAUGACCAGCCACACUAGAACUGAGACACGGUCCAGGCUCCUAAGGGAGGCAGCAGUGGGGAAUGUUGCACAAUGGGCGCAAGCCUGAUGCAGCCAUGCCGCGUGUAUGAAGAAGGCCUUCGGGUUGUAAAGUACUUUCAGCGGGGAGGCGUUACCCGCAGAAGAAGCACCGGCUAACUCCGUGCCAGCAGCCGCGGUAAUUC
rnacentral:rRNA from 1 species